GUCUCUUCGGGGAUGAUUAAACCGGCGCACGGGUGAGUAACACGUGAGUGACCUGCCUUUUAGACUGGAACAACUUACCGAAAGGUGAGCUAAUGCCGGAUGAGUUAUAUAAGUGCAUGUUUAUAUAGGAAAAGUUGGGGAGACCUGACGCUGAAAGAUGGACUCGCGUCCCAUUAGCUAGUUGGUAGGGUAAUGGCCUACCAAGGCGACGAUGGGUAGCCGGCCUGAGAGGGUGGCCGGCCACACUGGGACUGAGACACGGCCCAGACUCCUACGGGAGGCAGCAGUGGGGAAUUUUGCGCAAUGCUCGUAAGAGUGACGCAGCGACGCCGCGUGAAUGACGAAGGCCUUCGGGUCGUAAAGUUCUUUCGACAGGGAAGAAAAUGCCUAUAAGUAACUGUGUAUGUAUUGACGGUACCUGUAUAAGCAGCCCCGGCUAACUCCGUGCCAGCAGCCGCGGUAAUACGGAGGGGGCGAGCGUUGUUCGGAGUGACUGGGCGUAAAGAGCACGUAGGCGGUGUUGUAAGUCAUUAGUCAAAGACUAGAGCUCAACUUUAGUAAGGCUAGUGAUACUAUAAUACUAGAGUAUCAGAGAGGAUUGCAGAAUUCCUGGUGUAGCGGUGAAAUGCGUAGAUAUCAGGAGGAAUACCGUUAGCGAAGGCGGCAAUCUGGCUGGAAACUGACGCUGAGGUGCGAAAGCGUGGGUAGCAAACAGGAUUAGAUACCCUGGUAGUCCACGCUGUAAACGAUGGAUGCUAGGUGUUGGGCUUUUUAGUUCAGUGCCGCAGCNAACGCGAUAAGCAUCCCGCCUGGGGAGUACGNUUGCAAGAAUGAAACUCAAAGG
rnacentral:rRNA from 1 species